AUGAAGUUGAGGAGAAGGCUGAUGGACUGCUCUACGCUGAUUUGGUGAGUAGAAGGAAGGCGUUUGUUGAGCUGGUAGUAGAUGGAUGAAAUGAUUGUUUCUAGUCGAGACACGUUGAUCUCUGUGUUAUGAUCCAAAGUGUUAAGGCCAUUAUCUCGGAAGGCUUCAAUCAUAUUCCAGAUAUCAACAAGAUGAAGGUUACAUCGUUUCUGCACAAAGCGCAGCUUACAGGCUGUCCGAUACGUUGAAAGUCUGAUGACAUCAAAGUUCUGGGCCCUCAUUUCCAUGAACAGCUGUCUCUU
rnacentral:lncRNA from 1 species